GGAUGAGCUCAGUAUGGAAAUUGGGCUUGGCCUUGAAUUGUAGUCUGGAGAUGUACCACCAACUGGGGCGCAGAUGUAAGCCCUGAAAAGAGCAUCAAUGAGGGUGAGAGUCCCGCUUGGCAUCUGCAGUCCCCAGUGCACGGUGUACCUCUAAGAGUCACGUUCCUCGGGAUUGGAGCGCAAAUCGGGUGGUAAGUUUCAUCUAAAGCUAAAUAUAGUUUCGAGACCGAUAGCAAACAAGUACCAUGAGGGAAAGGUGAAAAGGACUUUGAAAAGAGAGUUAAAAGUGCCUGAAAUUGCUGAAAGGGAAGCGAAUGGAACAGCGUAACUUGGCGAGAUUGCUGCGUGUCAAUGUGAUUGCUUUGCUUCAACGUAAGUGUUGUAGUAAGUCUUAACAGCAUCGCGGUGCUUCUUGCCUUGUGUGUCACCGUCAGUUCGCAACUGGGGAACUAGGGACAUGGUAGCCUGUCUCCGGGUGGGUGAACGU
rnacentral:rRNA from 1 species